rnacentral:rRNA from 1 species
GCAUCCAACGCGUUGGGAGCUCUCCCAUAUGGUCGACCUGCAGGCGGCCGCGAAUUCACUAGUGAUUCGUAUUACCGCGGCUGCUGGCACAGAGUUAGCCGGUGCUUAUUCUGCGGGUACCGUCAUAGCAACGAGUUAUUCGCUCGUUACCUUUCUUCCCCACCUAAAGUGCUUUACAACCCGAAGGCCUUCUUCACACACGCGGCAUCGCUGGAUCAGGGUUUCCCCCAUUGUCCAAGAUUCCCCACUGCUGCCUCCCGUAGGAGUCUGGGCCGUGUCUCAGUCCCAGUGUGGCUGGUCAUCCUCUCAGACCAGCUACGGAUCGUCGCCUUGGUAGGCUUUUACCCCACCAACUAGCUAAUCCGACGUAGGCUCACCCCAGAGCGCAAGGCCUUUCGGUCCCCUGCUUUUGAUCUCUCGAUAUCAUGUGGUAUUAGCCCGAGUUUCCUCGGGUUAUCCCACGCUCCAGGACAGAUUCCUACGUGUUACUCACCCGUCCGCCACUCGCCACCCCAUAAAGACCGAAAUCUUUACUGUGCUGCCGUUCGACUUGCAUGUGUUAGGCAUGCCCCCAGCGUUCAAUCUGAGCCAUGAUCAAACUCUAAUCGAAUUCCCGCGGCCGCCAUGGCGGCCGGGAGCAUG